UUUCCGUAGGUGAACCUGCGGAAGGAUCAUUAUUGUAUAACCGAGGUGCGAGGGCUGUCGCUGACCCGAAAGGUCGUGCACGCUCGAGUGCCCUCACACACAUCCAUCUCACCCCUAUGUGCACCACCGCGUGGGUCCCCCUUUGGCUUGUUCGGAGGGGGGCUUACGUUUUCACACAAACUUUGUAUGCAGUGUUGAAUGUAUUUUUUGUUUUUGCGAUCACGCAAUCAAUACGACUUUCAACAACGGAUCUCUUGGCUCUC
rnacentral:misc_RNA from 1 species